GGAAGAUGCGUCUUCGUUCAUUUGCAUUUGUUAAUCACGCGGAUUGCAUCUUUCAA
rnacentral:pre_miRNA from 1 species